UGCCCCAUGGCUAAGUUGGUCAAAGCGUCCGACUGUUACGUCGCAAUCGGAAGGUCCUGAGUUCGAGCCUCAGUGGGGCAG
rnacentral:tRNA from 1 species